GGACUACUAGGGUAUCUAAUCCUGUUUGAUCCCCGCACUUUCGUGCCUCAGCGUCAGUUACAGUCUAGUAAGCUGCCUUCGCAAUCGGUGUUCUUGACAAUAUCUAUGCAUUUCACCGCUACACUGUCAAUUCCGCCUACCUCGUCUGUACUCAAGUCUUUCAGUAUCAAUGGCAGUUCUCCAGUUAAGCUGGAGGAUUUCACCACUGACUUAAAAGACCGCCUACGCACCCUUUAAACCCAAUAAAUCCGGACAACGCUUGCACCCUCCGUAUUACCGCGGCUGCUGGCAC
rnacentral:rRNA from 1 species